rnacentral:lncRNA from 1 species
AAAUUAAAUAUUCUUUUGGAUAUAAAUUUCAACAGUGAGAUAGCUGCCUAGUGGAAAUGAAUAAUAUCCCAGCCACUAGUGUACAGGGUGUUUUGUGGCACAGGAUUAUGUAAUAUGGAACUGCUCAAGCAAAUAACUAGUCAUCACAACAGCAGUUCUUUGUAAUAACUGAAAAAGAAUAUUGUUUCUCGGAGAAGGAUGUCAAAAGAUCGGCCCAGCUCAGGGAGCAGUUUGCCCUACUAGCUCCUCGGACAGCUGUAAAGAAGAGUCUCUGGCUCUUUAGAAUACUGAUCCCAUUGAAGAUACCACGCUGCAUGUGUCCUUAGUAGUCAUGUCUCCUUAGGCUCCUCUUGGACAUUCUGAGCAUGUGAGACCUGAGGACUGCAAACAGCUAUAAGAGGCUCCAAAUUAAUCAUAUCUUUCCCUUUGAGAAUCUGGCCAAGCUCCAGCUAAUCUACUUGGAUGGGUUGCCAGCUAUCUGGAGAAAAAGGUGGAGAUGGGGCAUGAGGAUCCUCCAGGGGAAAAGCUCACUACCACUGGGCAACAACCCUAGGUCAGGAGGUUCUGUCAAGAUACUUUCCUGGUCCCAGAUAGGAAGAUAAAGUCUCAAAAACAACCACCACACGUCAAGCUCUUCAUUGUUCCUAUCUGCCAAAUCAUUAUACUUCCUACAAGCAGUGCAGAGAGCUGAGUCUUCAGCAGGUCCAAGAAAUUUGAACACACUGAAGGAAGUCAGCCUUCCCACCUGAAGAUCAACAUGCCUGGCACUCUAGCA